rnacentral:lncRNA from 1 species
CAUCGAUGGAGUAGAUAGACAUCUCACCAGAAAUAGUAACUAGUAUCUCUUUAUUCUUCUGUUGUGAACUGUUCUGGCCUUGCUCUCAUAGCAAUUUUUGAUAGUUAUUCUUUAAGUGGCCCUUCAUAAAACAUGAUAAAAGUGUAAAAUAUGAUAUUUUUCCUUCUUAAUUAUUGCAUUCAUGUGAUUAUAUUAUGUCAAAAUACACUUAUUACUCCUAUGUUUUGGUUUAGGUUGCAUUUUGAUGGAAAAGAUGAAAUUCAGAAGAAACAAGUGAAAAAUGACCAAAGUAGAAGAAAAUGAAAGUUCGGGGAUUAAAAUGAAAAUAUUCCAAACUUGUGUCUAAUCUUAUGAUGAAGAUUCGAAAGUGUUAGAGGUUAAGUGGAUGAGGAAAGAAGUCAAAGGAAUGAAAUAACGUCAAAGUUUGAUCGUACAUCAAUUCACAAUCGAAAAAGUUACACACCGAUUUUUAGUCUCAUAUUGGGACCCAUUUUUGACAUGGAAGAUGAUUGAAAUUGAAGAUGCUUUCUGAAGCAAAGUUUUAGCCCUUUGAGUUAGCUGUCUAAUGUAACUCAAAUCGCCUUAGUUGGACAUCGGGAGGGAAGGUCAUGGUCAAAAUACUGAAAGCUAUGCAGCAGAGAAAAUUGGUUGAACCAUGCCGUCCCAUGGUUAUAAAUCCAUGCGGCCACAUGGAUGCCUCCCGAGAAUUUCAAGACCCAAAUGGCUUGAACCAUGCGACCGCAUGGUUAUUCCUCGAGGCCAAAAUUUCUAUUUCCUCAACCACUUAUGGAAACAUGGUUCCACGCGUUUUUAAACCCUAAUCUCGACCAGAACGCCUACCAUUCACCUCCUAUAACUUUUGUUUGGUUUUUGGCUCAAGAAAUUCAAGGAGAACUAAACCUAUUGGUGAAGCUACGAAGGAUCUUGCU